rnacentral:lncRNA from 1 species
CGGCCAUUCACCCCUGCUCCCGACUUCCCUUCCAUUCCUUAGGUACGUCCACCGCACCCAGUCCGCCUAAUUCGGCCGUCUCUAUGCAGCUUAGCAUUUCUUUCUUGUCUGUCGUCGAAAUUCCGCUAGCGGUCUGGCUGGCGAGAUGCUGCUUGCUGUCAAGGCUUGUCUCGAUGCUGCUGCUUGCUGAAUUCCGAGGGUGAUUAGUGAUCUUGGCAGGGGGAGAAUUGGUGUUUUGUUUAGCUAGUUCAGUUUAAGGAGGAGUGCGUAUGUAGGAGAUCUUCAGUGCUUUGUCUUAUAUCACCAUUCACGUGGGUGAAGCAUAAUCUAGUCUGUAUCAUGAAAGGUUAAUUUUGCUACCGCUGGUUGGAUUUUGGGGCCUGCAACAGUUUACAUCUAGACAUUUUUCUCCAUUUUUGCAUUUUAUUUUUACAUCAUCUCCGUUUGCCUGUAUAUAUACCUAGAUGUGCUAAUAAUCAGUUUGAUUGUAUCAUUUCAACUAGUUAAAAUUGUCCCAGUUCAUCUAGUUAAAUUGUCUUAGUUCCACUAUAUUUACUCUGCCAAGAAAAGUCAAAAUAUUAGUUAAUCAUGCUUCCAUUUCCUGCAAACAAAAAAUGGUCUCUGAAGAUUAUGUCUUUCCCCUUGCAUAAUAACACAUGGAAUUACUUCUACAAACCCGGUUAGUGUGAGCGACAAAAUGGAAAUCAAAGUACAUAAGGAAAAGAAUUCUGCACCGUGUAUCAACCACCAAGCCACUCACAUUUGUUAAAGAUGGACUUCUAUCGCAUAAACAACAAUAUCGGGCAUUCAGGAUCUUGUCCAUCGUCCUUGAAUCAUUAAAUCACACACACACAUGCUAGUAGGUAGCCCUCUUAAAAAGUGAGUUUAUUCCUACAUAUAUGUACUAGUGACACUACUCUUGCAUAAAAUUUCUCCUUUCGCAAAAAGUAGUUUGUGCAAAAAAGAAGCAAAAGUCAUGUUUACCUGGUCUGCAAAAAUGAUGCUUGCUAGGUGUUUGUUCUAAUGCCUAUGUGAACAGAACACUUUUAUUUCUUGUUUUCUUUAUACUGAGAAGAAAACUUGUGAAGGUUUAGGGAAACAGAAGGGCUCACCAACAAAAGCCACUAAAAGUGUUUAGAAUAAUAUUGGGGAGGAUCAAGUGCAAGAAUACAAAAAGUUUAGAGUUGAGAAAGCGGAACUAGAAAAGUUCAUAGGCCUCUCCUGUUCAUAAACGCAUGCCGCUGGCCACUAGAGAUGUGCGGCCGCCAUUGCCCAUCCAAAAUCACAGUGCCUAUCGAGUUUCUUUGUCAAAAGCUUGCAUCGAUGGCUAACUCCGUACUAUUACUUUACCUACUAUUAUGCUAAUGUUGUACUGGUGCUCUUGCUUAUUAAGGCAUGCAUCAAUAGUCAAUCUUGAACUCGAUGUGCUAUUCUAUGUUCGGGGACUGGAGCGUUUCUUUAAUGGACGUGUUCUUUGGCUGAGGAUGUCAACGUUAUGUUGUUUUCAUACUUUCAACAAAAAUAUCUAUAAGUUCAAAAUGUAUAACCCUAUAAGUUCAUUGAAAAACAGAAACAAAAAAAAUAGUGCAUGAGCAAGUAGCCGCCCCGCACUAGACAUCAACGUUAUGAUGUUUUCAUACUUUCAGCUCACAUUGUAGCUUUUUUUCAGUUCAAUGGAUUCCAAAAAGGAAAAAACUGUGGAUGGGUGAUGAAUCAACUUCCUAUACUGUUGUGCCAUGAGCAUUGGACGACCCCGACCACCGGCACCACUGCUUCCCGACCUCCUGCUUGCAUCGCCAUCUCCCGGUGGGGCUCUGCCGCUGGAGCACCCUGGCCGUUCACAGCCACCACUCCAGGCCGGUCAACGCCACCACCCCAGGCUGUUCAUUGCCAGCAGCACCCUGGAUCCCACCCCUCACCCUAGGAUUUUUAGUUAUCGAGUGAGUUAAAGUCCAACUUGAGCUUUCAGUCCAUGUGUCGUUUGCUGUUGUGGCCGGUCUCCAGGUACAUAGUGAUGUUCCUAUUCAUGCAUCUAGUGCUGCUCCGUUAAAUCACUUGUUCAUCUUGUUUGUUCCAACCACGCUGGAUGCCUAGUACUAGUAGCUUGCACUAGCCUAUACAUGAGCAUCUCAAGCCGUUGUUAAUAGAUGUGAGUAGUACUGAUUGUUUUGAUUGAGUUGGCGUCUCAGAUUAUACUGGAGCAUGUGUUUUCACAAAGAGUUUAGGUUCCAGAUUGCCAAAAGUUCGAAGAUAGUGAGAUGCAUGGGAAGCUACCAGACAGAGAUGAUAUUGGACAAAGGGCUGCACAACCGUCCAAGUCGAGCACAUACAACAGUCCAAGGUGACGCAUGAUCACUGAUAGAUUCUACAUCUUUUUAUUAGUAUGAUAAUUCAGCCCACACACCACGCACCACAUCCCGAGCCCCGAUCCAGCGCCGCCCCUGCUUCCAUCCGCCGCCGCCGCCGCCGUCGCUAGUCCCCUGCCCAGCGCGCGGGGGCCCUUCGCGUCCCAUCUCCGGCGACGAGCCGCCCCUGCUGGACCCCGAGCGCGGCCGCCCCUCCGACUAUGCCGACUUCGUCAGUCCGUCAGUUCGCCAGUGGGAACCGCAAGUCAGGACCCCAUCUUCCACCCCGCCUCCCACCUCCCGGCCGCCGCGCGCCUCCCACCCUCCGGCCGCCGCGCACCUCCCUUCCCCGACACCGCGCGCCUCCCACCUCCCGGCCGCCGCGCGCCUCCGUUCCCCGGCUGCCGCGCGCCUCCCUUCCCCGGCCACCGCGCGCCUCCCUUCCCCUGCCGCCGCACACUGUCGACGGCGGCGCGCCUCAUUUCAUCUCUCCAUGGCUCCGUGCUCACCUCGACGGUGCCGUGGAUGCAGUGGUGCUACUGCAUCGCCUCCUUCCCGUGCUUACAGGUUGGCCUCCUCCUUAGCCACUUCUGCCCCGAGGAGGACAACAUCCAGCACAGACCGUUCACCGCCACUACCCCGGGCAGUUCACCACUGUCACCCUCGGCCAUUAACCCCCGCUCCCGACUUCCCUUCCAUUCCUCAGGUACGUGCACCGCACCCAGUCCGCCCAAUUCGGCCGUCUCUAUGCAGCUUAGCAUUUCUUUCUUGUCUGUCGUCAAAAUUCCGCUAGCGGUCUGGCUGGCGAGAUGCUGCUUGCUUUCAAGGCUUGUCUCGAUGCUACUGCUUGCUGAAUUCUGAGAGCGAUUAGUGAUCUUGGCAGGGGGAGAAUUGGUGUUUUGUUUAGCCAGUUCUGUUUAAGGAGGAGUGCGUAUGUAGGAGAUCUUCAGUGCUUUGUCUUAUAUCACCAUUCACGUGGGUGAAGCAUAAUCUAGUCUGUAUCAUGAAAGGUUAAUUUUGCUACCGCUGGUUGGAUUUUGGGGCCUGCAACAGUUUACAUCUAGACAUUUUUCUCCAUUUUUGCAUUUUAUUUUUACAUCAUCUCCGUUUGCCUGUAUAUAUACCUAGAUGUGCUAAUAAUCAGUUUGAUUGUAUCAUUUCAACUAGUUAAAAUUGUCUCAGUUCAUCUAGUUAAAUUGUCUUAGUUCCACUAUAUUUACUCUGCCAAGAAAAGUCAACAUAUUAGUUAAUCAUGCUUCCAUUUCCUGCAAACAAAAAAUGGUCUCUGAAGAUUAUGUCUUUCCCCUUGCAUAAUAACACAUGGAAUUACUUCUACAAACCCGGUUAGUGUGAGCGACAAAAUGGAAAUCAAAGUACAUAAGGAAAAGAAUUCUGCACCGUGUAUCAACCACCAAGCCACUCACAUUUGUUAAAGAUGGACUUCUGUCGCAUAAACAACAAUAUCGGGCAUUCAGGAUCUUGUCCAUCGUCCUUGAAUGAUUAAAUCACACACACACAUGCUAGUAGGUAGCCCUCUUAAAAAGUGAGUUUAUUCCUACAUAUAUGUACUAGUGACACUACUCUUGCAUAAAAUUUCUCCUUUCGCAAAAAGUAGUUUGUGCAAAAAAGAAGCAAAAGUCAUGUUUACCUGGUCUGCAAAAAUGAUGCUUGCUAGGUGUUUGUUCUAAUGCCUAUGUGAACAGAACACUUUUAUUUCUUGUUUUCUUUAUACUGAGAAGAAAACUUGUGAAGGUUUAGGGAAACAGAAGGGCUCACCAACAAAAGCCACUAAAAAUGUUUAGAAUAAUAUUGGGGAGGAUCAAGUGCAAGAAUACAAAAAGUUCAGAGUUGAGAAAGCGGAAAAGUUCAUAGGCCUCUCCUGUUCACAAACGCAUGCCGCUGGCCACUAGAGAUGUGCGGCCGCCAUUGCCCAUCCAAAAUCACAGUGCCUAUCGAGUUUCUUUGUCAAAAGCUUGCAUCGAUGGCUAACUCCGUACUAUUACUUUACCUACUAUUAUGCUAAUGUUGUACUGGUGCUCUUGCUUAUUAAGGCAUGCAUCAAUAGUCAAUCUUGAACUCGAUGUGCUAUUCUAUGUUCGGGGACUGGAGCGUUUCUUUAAUGGACGUGUUCUUUGGCUGAGGAUGUCAACGUUAUGUUGUUUUCAUACUUUCAACAAAAAUAUCUAUAAGUUCAAAAUGUAUAACCCUAUAAGUUCAUUGAAAAACAGAAACAAAAAAAUAGUGCAUGAGCAAGUAGCCGCCCCGCCCUAGACAUCAACGUUAUGAUGUUUUCAUACUUUCAGCUCACAUUGUAGCUUUUUUCAGUUCAAUGGAUUCCAAAAAGGAAAAAACUGUGGAUGGGUGAUGAAUCAACUUCCUAUACUGUUGUGCCAUGAGCAUUGGACGACCCCGACCACCGGCACCACUGCUUCCCGACCUCCUGCUUGCAUCGCCAUCUCCCGGUGGGGCUCUGCCGCUGGAGCACCCUGGCCGUUCACAGCCACCACUCUAGGCCGGUCAACGCCACCACCCCAGGCUGUUCAUUGCCAGCAGCACCCUGGAUCCCACCCCUCACCCUAGGAUUUUUAGUUAUCGAGUGAGUUAAAGUCCAACUUGAGCUUUCAGUCCAUGUGUCGUUUGCUGUUGUGGCCGGUCUCCAGGUACAUAGUGAUGUUCCUAUUCAUGCAUGUAGUGCUGCUCCGUUAAAUCACUUGUUCAUCUUGUUUGUUCCAACCACGCUGGAUGCCUAGUACUAGUAGCUUGCACUAGCCUAUACAUGAGCAUCUCAAGCCGUUGUUAAUAGAUGUGAGUAGUACUGAUUGUUUUGAUUGAGUUGGCGUCUCAGAUUAUACUGGAGCAUGUGUUUUCACAAAGAGUUUAGGUUCCAGAUUGCCAAAAGUUCGAAGAUAGUGAGAUGCAUGGGAAGCUACCAGACAGAGAUGAUAUUGGACAAAGGGCUGCACAACCGUCCAAGUCGAGCACAUACAACAAUCCAAGGUGACGCAUGAUCACUGAUAGAUUCUACAUCUUUUUAUUAGUAUGAUAAUUCAGCCCACACACCACGCACCACAUCCCGAGCCCCGAUCCAGCGCCGCCCCUGCUUCCAUCCGCCGCUGCCGCCGCCGUCGCUAGUCCCCUGCCCAGCGCGCGGGGGCCCUUCGCGUCCCAUCUCCGGCGACGAGCCGCCUCUGCUGGACCCCUAGCGCGGCCGCCCCUCCGACUAUGCCAACUUCGUCAGUCCGUCAGUUCGCCAGUGGGAACCGCAAGUCAGGACCCCGUCUUCCACCCCGCCUCCCACCUCCCGGCCGCCGCGCGCCUCCCACCCUCCGGCCGCCGCGCGCCUCCCUUCCCCGACACCGCGCGCCUCCCACCUCCCGGCCGCCGCGCGCCUCCGUUCCCCGGCUGCCGCGCGCCUCCCUUCCCCGGCCACCGCGCGCCUCCCUUCCCCUGCCGCCGCACACUGUCGAAGGCGGCGCGCCUCAUUUCAUCUCUCCAUGGCUCCGUGCUCACCUCGACGGUGCCGUGGAUGCAGUGGUGCUACUGCAUCGCCUCCUUCCUGUGCUUACAGGUUGGCCUCCUCCUUAGCCACUUCUGCCCCGAGGAGGACAACAUCCAGCACAGACCGUUCACCGCCACUACCCCGGGCAGUUCACCACUGUCACCCUCGGCCAUUAACCCCCGCUCCCGACUUCCCUUCCAUUCCUCAGGUACGUGCACUGCACCCAGUCCGCCCAAUUCGGCCGUCUCUAUGCAGCUUAGCAUUUCUUUCUUGUCUGUCGUCAAAAUUCCGCUAGCGGUCUGGCUGGCGAGAUGCUGCUUGCUUUCAAGGCUUGUCUCGAUGCUACUGCUUGCUGAAUUCCGAGAGCGAUUAGUGAUCUUGGCAGGGGGAGAAUUGGUGUUUUGUUUAGCCAGUUCUGUUUAAGGAGGAGUGCGUAUGUAGGAGAUCUUCAGUGCUUUGUCUUAUAUCACCAUUCACGUGGGUGAAGCAUAAUCUAGUCUGUAUCAUGAAAGGUUAAUUUUGCUACCGCUGGUUGGAUUUUGGGGCCUGCAACAGUUUACAUCUCGACAUUUUUCUCCAUUAUUGCAUUUUCUUUUUACACCAUCUCCGUUUGCCUGUAUAUAUACCUAGAUGUGCUAAUAAUCA